UACGUAGGGCGCAAGCGUUGUCCGGAAUUAUUGGGCGUAAAGAGCUCGUAGGCGGUUUGUCGCGUCUGCUGUGAAAACCUAAGGCUCAACCUUGGGCUUGCAGUGGGUACGGGCAGACUAGAGUGCGGUAGGGGUGACUGGAAUUCCUGGUGUAGCGGUGAAAUGCGCAAAUAUCAGGAGGAACACCGGUGGCGAAGGCGGGUCUCUGGGCCGAUACUGACGCUGAGGAGCGAAAGCGUGGGGAGCGAACAGG
rnacentral:rRNA from 1 species